UUUAUUAGAAGAGACGCAUUUAUUAGAUAAAAAGCCAGUUCAUGCUUUUACAGUAUGAAAAUUGGUGAUUUAUAAUAACUUAGCAAAUCGCAAAGUGAAAACAGGCGAUAAAUCAUUCAAGUUUCUGACCUAUCAGCUUUCGACGGUAUGGUAUUGGCUUACCGUGGCAGUGACGGUUAACGGGGGAUUAGGGUUCGAUUCCGGAGAGGGAGCCUGAGAAACGGCUACCACAUCUAAGGAAGGCAGCAGGCGCGCAAAUUACCCAAUUCUAACAGUUUGAGAGAGGUAGUAACAAGAAAUAACAAUACAAGGCAGUUAAAAUGCUUUGUAAUUGGAAUGAUAGAAAUUUAAACCCUUUUUAAAGUAUCAAUUGGAGGGCAAGUCUGGUGCCAGCAGCCGCGGUAAUUCCAGCUCCAAUAGCGUAUAUUAAAAUUGUUGCAGUUAAAAAGCUCGUAGUUGAAGUUCUGCUGAAAGUAACCGGUCUGCUUUUAAUAAAAGUGGUAUCUUGGUAUGUAUUUAGCAAUGAUGUCCUUUGAAGUGUUUUUUACUUUAUUGUAAUAAAGCAUAUUCAGGACUUUUACUUUGAGAAAAUUAGAGUGUUUCUAGCAGGCUGACGCUUUGAAUA
rnacentral:rRNA from 2 species